CUGCCCUUGACUACUAUGAAGACUGGUGUGGGAAGGGUCCCUUUGGAUGCACUUGAGCAGGGGUCCCCAACCCCUGAGCCAUAGAGCUGUAAGGAGCCACACAGCAGGUGGGACCAUCCAGUUUCAGGAAAACAAGCUUAACACGCCCACUGAUUCUACAUUAUGCUCCUACCUCCCGGCAGCCUCGCCAGGCCCAGAACUCUCUCCAGUCAGCCUCUACAGACCAAGCUCAUGACUCACAAUGGCCUAUUUAGGCCCAUACCCUACCUCACGGCAGUCUCCGCAGAUGAGCCUACUGCCUCACAACAGCCUCCACAGGCACAGCUCCAUCGUUACAAUGGCCUCUUCAGACCCAGCUCCUGCCUCCCAGCCUUCUAUCCAGGCCCUGAACUUUCUCCGUGGGACCAUCCAGUUUCAGGAAAACAAGCUUAACACGCCCACUGAUUCUACAUUAUGCUCCUACCUCCCGGCAGCCUCGCCAGGCCCAGAACUCUCUCCAGUCAGCCUCUACAGACCAAGCUCAUGACUCACAAUGGCCUAUUUAGGCCCAUACCCUACCUCACGGCAGUCUCCGCAGAUGAGCCUACUGCCUCACAACAGCCUCCACAGGCACAGCUCCAUCGUUACAAUGGCCUCUUCAGACCCAGCUCCUGCCUCCCAGCCUUCUAUCCAGGCCCUGAACUUUCUCCGUGGGACCAUCCAGUUUCAGGAAAACAAGCUUAACACGCCCACUGAUUCUACAUUAUGCUCCUACCUCCCGGCAGCCUCGCCAGGCCCAGAACUCUCUCCAGUCAGCCUCUACAGACCAAGCUCAUGACUCACAAUGGCCUAUUUAGGCCCAUACCCUACCUCACGGCAGUCUCCGCAGAUGAGCCUACUGCCUCACAACAGCCUCCACAGGCACAGCUCCAUCGUUACAAUGGCCUCUUCAGACCCAGCUCCUGCCUCCCAGCCUUCUCUCCAGGCCCUGAACUUUCUCCGUGGGACCAUCCAGUUUCAGGAAAACAAGCUUAACACGCCCACUGAUUCUACAUUAUGCUCCUACCUCCCGGCAGCCUCGCCAGGCCCAGAACUCUCUCCAGUCAGCCUCUACAGACCAAGCUCAUGACUCACAAUGGCCUAUUUAGGCCCAUACCCUACCUCACGGCAGUCUCCGCAGAUGAGCCUACUGCCUCACAACAGCCUCCACAGGCACAGCUCCAUCGUUACAAUGGCCUCUUCAGACCCAGCUCCUGCCUCCCAGCCUUCUAUCCAGGCCCUGAACUUUCUCCGUAAGUUGAGGUAGCUGGGACUGUAGGUAUACAUGACGAUACUUGGCUAAUUUUUAAAUUGUUUUGCAGACAUGGGGUCUCACUUUGUUAGCCAGGCUGCUGUCAAACUAAUGGCCUCAAGUGACCCUUCCACCCCUGCCUCCCAUCCUCGAGGUAUGUGCCACCACAAGGGGCACUUGUUCAAUUUUCUAAAGAAAAAAUUUCUAAAGUAAGGCUGUGGGAUGAUGGCAGGAAGAUAGAAAAACAGAAGAAUAAGUUAAAAUGACUUAUUCACACAUAUUCUUUUGACAGCAAGAAGAACUGUUAGUAUAUACAUUCCUUACAAACAAACAAACGGCAGAUAAACAAUGUUGUAUAGGAACUUCAACACACACUGUACAAUAUUCCCACUUUGCUGACAUAAGUUAUGGAAAUUUCGUGGUUUCCUUGAGUGUCGCUACCAGUAUUUGCUUCUCUGAUGAUUUUUAUCAACUUCCUCAUCUGUUAACUUCUCUCCAAGGUAUGUCAUGUCACGAC